rnacentral:rRNA from 1 species
GUUACAAUGAAAAAAACCAGCAGGCACCCUUAUAUAGGUAUGAAGCAAGUAAAGUUGAAUAAGAUUUUAAAUUUGUACCUUUUGUAUCAGGGGAUUUUAAAAAUGAAAUUAUAAGAAUAUCGAGUCGACUGUAUCUUUGAGUAAAACAGUAGUGGCAUUUAUUGAUUUUAUAUGGUAAGAGGUGAAAAGCAAGCGACGGCUGUGCUAUCUAAUUGUUUUAUAAUUUAAAGGGUAAAGCUUUUGAAAGUCUAUUUAGGUUGAGCAUAAAAAUAACUAGGCUUUAAAUUAGCUAGGCUAGUAAAUUGUUUUAAAUAAUUAUAGUUUAAUAAGUAGGGUAGAAUUAUUUGACGAUAAUAAUAUAUAACGGUUUAUAGAAAUAAUGAAGUUAUUGAAUAGGGGAUGAAGCUAAAAAAUAACUCAAGGUAAAUUAGAUAGUUUAGCAAAAACAUUUUUGUUUGGGUAAUAAAAAAUAAAACCUGCCCAGUGCGCUGUAAACGGCUGCAGUAUUUUGACUGUACUAAGGUAGCAUAGUCAUUUGCUGCUUAAUUGGUAGCUAGUAUGAAUGGUUAAACUAAUUUAACUGGUUUGUAAACUUAGUAGGAGAUUUAAGUAGGGGUAAGAAUUCUUCUGUUUGCUAGGGGACGAUAAGACCCUAAAAGCUUGACUAAGAGAAAACUUGUGGUUGUAGUAGGUAAAUAGUUUCACUGGGGCGGUGAUAGUAAAUAAACUGUUAUAGUUUUUGAUGAUCCUGGGUAUGCAGAUAAUAGGGAAAGUUACUUUAGGGGUAACAGUACAAUAGAUUUGAAGAGACCAUAUCGAUAAAUAAGUUUGUAACCUCGAUGUU